rnacentral:lncRNA from 1 species
ACCAAAAUAAUCCUACAAGGGACGAAAGCUUCUGCAAAAAUUCCAAAUUUCUUGAUGUUUUUGACAAAAUCACCGCAAACUCUGCUGAAAUACUAUCCCCUCAUAAAAUGCUUUCCAAAUUUUCCCAAGAACGACCUGAUGUAGUUAAAUGGCCAAAGAACUUUACAGACAAAGCCCCAUCAUUAGACCAGAAUAAGAACGAAUACAGACAUAGCCAGAAACGGAAGCUGGAUUUAUCUGUAGAUAAGUCUGAAAUGAAAAAAACUGAGACAAGAAUUUCUCGUAAAAGGAAAUCAAUAUCUGCUGAGAGAGAGUCUAUGUCAGAAAGAUCAAGCCAACCAAACGCUGCACCAGAAAAGUUUAAAGCUCCUUUGUCAAGCUUUAAUCAGAAAUUUACUUCUGAAUGCUCCAAUUCCUCCAGUGAGCUUACAUUUUCCUCAACAGAUACUCAAAAGAAAACCCCUCCUCAAAGCAACAAAGUUCUUCCUAUGGAGUCACCUUGCACUUUCAUCAGGAGAAGAACAUCUGCUGAAGGAGAAUUUCCAGAAUUCCUGUGUGAAGCACAGUCAUUUAAAAAUCCUGAACACGCAUUAGAACAAGAAACUGAUAAAGUCUCUUCAGGAGAGCCCAAAAUAUAUUGAAACAAAAAACAGCGGACAAACAAAACUGCCUGCUAGCAAGCGGGUUCAAUUUAGGGAGGAAUUGGAGGAAACUAUUGACCUGGAGGAAGAAGACUACAUAUGUGCUGAGGAUCAACAAAUGAUGGACUUUGACCUGUAUGACUGUGCGAAAAAAAAUCCAGAGCCACGGAAGAAAAGCACCACUUCCAAGUCCCAAGGCUCUUCUUUGCAGCGACGAUUAGAAAACGCCCAGAAAAUUGUGAGGACUACAAACAAUGUCCAGCAGAGUCAGUCCUUAGAGACUGCACUGUCCCACGAAGUUGAACCAAAUUCGCAAAUAAGUCAUACAAAAAAUGAAGAAGAACCAAUGGACUGGGAAGAUAUACCUUUGCCCGAAAUUAUGACGCAGGUUGAACAAACUAGGUACUUCAUGAGUCUGUGCCAGCAAAAAACAACAGCAAAUUGGCUACCAGAACAAAGUUCAAUUACUCCUCCUCCUAAGGCUGAAUUUUGUAUUGUCAUUGAUACGAAUAUCUUUUUAUCCAGAAUCUCUUUUGUUGUACGCAUAAGGGACACUUAUUUCAAAGGCCUUGGUCUUCCUACCAUAGUGGUUCCGUGGCAAGUCGUGCAAGAAAUUGAUUCUUUGAAAGAUCGCGGAAGUAGCAAAAUCAACAGAAAGCCAACAUUGCAAAGAAUUUUCUCUUCGAAAAUUUAUCGAAUAAAAAUCCAAGAGUGCGCGGUCAAACCAUGCUGGAGCAUGAUGAAUGUCAAGGAGAAGACUACGUAGCCCCAGAUGACAUGAUUUUAAAAUGCGCCAUCCAACUGGUCAAAAGUGGAAAAAGUGUGGUGAGACUUUUUAUUUUCCUUAAACUUUAAAAAAAAAAAAAAAGACCUUUUAUUUUCCUUCAGAAACUAAGUUAAUUUGUGUGUUACUGAACUAAACAACUUUCUCAAAAGCUUUCCGCUCUUUCAGCAUGAUUAUGUAGAGUUAUGAAAAUAGGAAUGUUGCAUAUUUUGACUGUAUUAUUUCCUUAGUACCUGAGGUGCUCGCAAAUAACUGCAUUGAAUUUCCGUUUUUAUGUGGCCAAAAACCCCGGUACAGAUUGUGCAGGGGAAUUUUUCACUGCGUUUUCAACUUUUGUGUUUUUUCUACAGUGAAUACAAAUUCAGAGGUAAGUUUUCUGCAUGCACCUACGGUAGGUACAAUUGCUGUUACGUCGAGCAUAUGAGCAUAGUCUGACAUUUUGUACAAACCUCAAAAUUUGUGCUUGGUAGAGCUUUCUGCUCCUAAAUUUCAAUUUGAUUCUUACAGGUAAAUCAGCCUGUAGGCUAAUUGGUGAAACUUUGUCCCGCAGG